rnacentral:lncRNA from 1 species
UCGUUUUUUUUUUUUUUUUUUUAGGCUGCUUGGCAUUAGGGGGAUUGGCACACACGAUUUCUUUGGCCUGCCUUCCUCUCAUCUGCGAGCCAAGAUCCCCGAAUUACAUGCAGUCACGAUUCGUCAGAAACCUUUUUUGAGCAUGCGCUGUAUGCUGGGCAUGGAACUAUGUCAUGAGCUUACAAAAAGACGUUCACGGCCUCACGAUCAACCACUCCGCAUGGGCCUGGCAAGAAGGAACAAGCUGCGAGGGGAUGCCCCAUACCUGGCCUGUGGACCACCGACAGGAAUGACCAGAACCCAGGAAAGCCAGUUGCUAUUGUCAGCAAGGACCCUGGCCGUGGAUCCUGGUGCCCUAGCUAGACCCAGCUGUGAUGCCUCCGCUCUAACCCGUCGCUCUGAAAAUACAGCUGGACAUAGAACCAGAUUCUGGGGUGGUUAUAUUUUGGGGUCGGUCGGGAAAUCCAUGCAAACCCCUUUUCCCUGCUACGUGUGAACUUUGGGGAGCACCAGUUAUGUUUCUGCAGGGGCCAGCAGAAAGCCCAAAAGCUCCACACCGCCAAGGCAGCUGUCUCAAACAUACACGUUAUUAGGCUGAUUGAAAUAAUCAGAAAACAGCUCCAGAAUGCUGGCUUGGAGAAAGGCAGGCAAUUUCUGCUUGGCAGACAGUGAUGUCAGCCGCCGCAGCGGGGGGAAAUCGAAUGCUGUCUUUCUUGCUCUCUUUCUUCUUUUCCCUUCUAAAAACUUCCCUGCAUCAUUUGAUUUUUCCCAUCAGCUGGACCAGGAGGGCCACGGGCAUCACUCCCUGAUGGGCUCUGUGGCCUUUGGGCAUGCUAGGUGACCAGGUGGCAGGAGAGAUGCAUCAGGACAUCCCUGGAAAUGUGUUGCCUCCAGACUGUAGGAAACUGCUUUGUACUGGAGCCCAUGUUUUCCUCCAACUCGCUCUCCUGGCCUCUCCCUUACUCAAGUUGUCAUCAAGCGAGUAAGAAAAGGUCCAAAAGCCUGAAAACCUGACCUCAUGAGGCAGAACCAACCGUCCCCAUCAAAGCAGACAGAUGCAGCAGAAGCAGAGGACCCGGGAAAGAUCAUUCCUGUCUCCCUGUGACGGAAUUGAGUUAGUGUUGGUCACAUUAGUGUCCAAUGACAGUGCCCAAGGGGCCAACACUGGUCAGAGCAGAGGUGGGGGUGGGGGCUGAGGCCAAGGCAGCACCCCCCCCCCACCCGACACGGUGACCUGAACAACACUCAGGGUUCCUUAAUCUC